rnacentral:rRNA from 1 species
AUUGAACGCUGGCGGCGUGCCUAACACAUGCAAGUCGAACGAGUGGCGGACGGGUGAGUAAUGUCUGGGAAACUGCCUGAUGGCGGGGGAUAACUACUGGAAACGGUAGCUAAUACCGCAUACCAUCGGCUUUGCCCAGGUGGGAUUAGCUAGUAGGUGGGGUAAAGGCUCACCUAGGCGACGAUCCCUAGCUGGUCUGAGAGGAUGACCGGCCACACUGGAACUGAGACACGGUCCAGACUCCUACGGGAGGCAGCAGUGGGGAAUAUUGCACAAUGGGCGAAAGCCUGAUGCAGCCAUGCCGCGUGUAUGAAGAAGGCCUUCGGGUUGUAAAGUACUUUCAGCGGGGAGGCGGUACCCGCAGAGGAAGCACCGGCUAACUCCGUGCCAGCAGCCGCGGUAAUUC